UGGGGAAUUUUGGACAAUGGGCGCAAGCCUGAUCCAGCCAUGCCGCGUGCAGGAUGAAGGCCUUCGGGUUGCAAACUGCUUUUGUACGGAACGAAAAGGUGCCUUCUAAUAAAGGGCGCUCAUGACGGUACCGUAAGAAUAAGCACCGGCUAACUACGUGCCAGCAGCCGCGGUAAUACGUAGGGUGCGAGCGUUAAUCGGAAUUACUGGGCGUAAAGCGUGCGCAGGCGGUUUUGUAAGACAGAGGUGAAAUCCCCGGGCUCAACCUGGGAACUGCCUGUGUGACUGCAAGGCUGGAGUGCGGCAGAGGGUGAUGGAAUUCCGCGUGUAGCAGUGAAAUGCGUAGAUAUGCGGAGGAACACCGAUGGCGAAGGCAAUCCCCUGGGCCUGCACUGACGCUCAUGCACGAAAGCGUGGGGAGCAAACA
rnacentral:rRNA from 1 species